AGUGAACGCUGGCGGUAGGCCUAACACAUGCAAGUCGAACGGCAGCACAGGAGAGCUUGCUCUCUGGGUGGCGAGUGGCGGACGGGUGAGGAAUACAUCGGAAUCUACUCUGUCGUGGGGGAUAACGUAGGGAAACUUACGCUAAUACCGCAUACGACCUACGGGUGAAAGCAGGGGACCUUCGGGCCUUGCGCGAUUGAAUGAGCCGAUGUCGGAUUAGCUAGUUGGCGGGGUAAAGGCCCACCAAGGCGACGAUCCGUAGCUGGUCUGGGAGGAUGAGCCGCCACACUGGAACUGGGACACGGUCCAGACUCCUACGGGAGGCAGCAGUGGGGAAUAUUGGACAAUGGGCGCAAGCCUGAUCCAGCCAUACCGCGUGGGUGAAGAAGGCCUUCGGGUUGUAAAGCCCUUUUGUUGGGAAAGAAAUCCAGCUGGCUAAUACCCGGUUGGGAUGACGGUACCCAAAGAAUAAGCACCGGCUAACUUCGUGCCAGCCGCCGCAGUAA
rnacentral:rRNA from 1 species